CCGAGUAAGGGUAUUUCCAUACCCGACCUCCAACCCUUUGUCUACUUUACUCUUUGUUGCUUCGGCGAGCCCGUCCCUUGAAAUAUAGAGACCGCCGGGGGUCUUGUACCCUGGGUCAGCGCUCGUCGAUAGCCCUUAUUAAACUCUUGUUUAACCGUGUCGUCUAAGUACAAAGCACUUAAUUAAAUA
rnacentral:misc_RNA from 1 species